AAUCAUCUUACGUUAGCAUGGUACACUUAUCACAGCUAAUAAACGAUUUAAUUAAUGAAUGAAUCCAAAUCAGGAGGAAUGUUUCAAGUCAGUAAAAACUAGAAGGCAGUGCGUGUGUGUGUGUGUGAGAGAGAUCCUUCAUUAUGCUCACAGCAUUCUAAUGCUAAAAAGAGCCAUCUACAAAUAAAAUAAUUAGAAAUCAAUUUUAGACCCCAAUUUGUCUCAAAUAGUUUUACCUUGGGAAAUCACUCAAAAUUUCAGAGCGCUUUCUAUCAUGCACACACAGACAAACACAAGUCGAUAAAGUAGAGAAUGUGUUACGUGUAAAGUGUUUAAUUAAAGCCACAGAUCAGAAAAAGCUUCUGGGUAAUACUGAUCUGCCACUUCUCCCUUUGGUAUGGUCGAGUGAGCGCUGAUGAUUGACAUAUAAGUUAGAUACACCUUUUGCCUUUCUUGGUUUAUUUAUAACAUCACCACCUGGAAUGAACUAUAGAGUGGAAAAUACGGAAAAUCAUUCUGUUGCUGCCCCGUGAGCUUGAGCCUGAGAUGCUAAAACAGCACAGAUAUGCAAUGUUUACUAACUUUCUCUAGUUAUCGUCAUCCCAAAGAGUAGAUUAUACCUGGAAUGAAGAGUAAAAUAAGGAGCAAAUAUGCCUUGUAUCUGUUCGUUGGAUCAGAAUGUCUAUAAAUAUAAAUUUAUAAUAAUUUACAGAAAUUGAACAUAUUUAUAACCUAGUAUGCCAGUCAUUAAUUGGCAAUGAUAUUUUAAUUUUCCUUUGCAAAUAUUCAAUUUGUGUUAACAGGUGCAACUCAUCCUUCAAUUCUCAGGUUAAUCCAUAUUCCCUCUGUGAAGGCAUUUCAUCUUUUCCUGGGCAAAUAUGACUGCUUAGUUUUAAGAUUAUCAUUACCGGCCAAAACGGUGAGAAAAAUAAAACUUGGAAGGCUGGAACUCCUUGAUAGCUUUGAAAGUGUUUGCUUCCUGAAGAGUUGCAUUUCCAGAAACAUGCAGUGGGAAACUAUUGUGCUUUGGGUCCUGCCUUCAAGCAAGAUAACACUUCGCUACUCAAAGGAGCACAGGACUUGAUCAUAUAUUGGGUCAAAAUGAAGCAAACAUUUGAAUUGCAUCAAUUCCCAAAAUAUCUGGUUCUGUUCAGUGGACCUUAUAUUUAUGCAAAUACUGAGACUGAAAUAAACACAGCAGAGUAAGUAGAUAGGAAUUGUCU
rnacentral:lncRNA from 1 species